rnacentral:piRNA from 1 species
UAGGAGUCCUUUGGUUGCAACAAAAGA